rnacentral:rRNA from 1 species
UACGUAGGGGGCAAGCGUUGUCCGGAUUUAUUGGGCGUAAAGAGUGUGUAGGCGGCCUGGUAGGUCAGCUGUGAAAACUCGAGGCUCAACCUCGAGACGCCGGUUGAAACCAUCAGGCUAGAGUCCGGAAGAGGAGAGUGGAAUUCCCGGUGUAGCGGUGAAAUGCGCAGAUAUCGGGAAGAACACCCGUGGCUAAGGCGGCUCUCUAGUACGGUACUGACGCUGAGACGCGAAAGCGUGGGGAGCGAACAGG